rnacentral:rRNA from 1 species
UAAGUUUGAUGGCGACGGCGCACGGGUGAGUAACACGUAUCCAACCUGCCGAUGACUCGGGGAUAGCCUUUCGAAAGAAAGAUUAAUACCCGAUGGCAUAGUUCUUCCGCAUGGUAGAACUAUUAAAGAAUUUCGGUCAUCGAUGGGGAUGCGUUCCAUUAGGUUGUUGGCGGGGUAACGGCCCACCAAGCCUUCGAUGGAUAGGGGUUCUGAGAGGAAGGUCCCCCACAUUGGAACUGAGACACGGUCCAAACUCCUACGGGAGGCAGCAUG